rnacentral:rRNA from 1 species
AUUGAACGCUGGCGGAAUGCUUUACACAUGCAAGUCGAACGGCAGCACGGGGGCAACCCUGGUGGCGAGUGGCGAACGGGUGAGUAAUACAUCGGAACGUGCCCAGUCGUGGGGGAUAACGUAGCGAAAGUUACGCUAAUACCGCAUACGAUCUACGGAUGAAAGCGGGGGACCGUAAGGCCUCGCGCGAUUGGAGCGGCCGAUGUCAGAUUAGGUAGUUGGUGAGGUAAAGGCUCACCAAGCCGACGAUCUGUAGCUGGUCUGAGAGGACGACCAGCCACACUGGGACUGAGACCCGGCCCAGACUCAUACGGGAGGCAGCAGUGGGGAAUUUUGGACGAUGGGCUCAAGCCUGAUCCAGCCAUUCCGCGUGCAGGACGAAGUCCUUCGGGUUGUAAACUGCUUUUGUACGGAACGAAAAGGCUCUGGUUAAUACCUGGGGCUCAUGACGGUACCGUAAGAAUAAGCACCGGCUAACUACGUGCCAGCAGCCGCCGCCG